rnacentral:rRNA from 1 species
UCGGAAUCACUGGGCUUAAAGGGCGCGUAGGCGGGCGGUCAAGUCUGUGGUGAAAUCCUUCGGCUCAACCGGAGAAUAGCUGGAGAUACUGGCCGUCUCGAGGGGGGUAGGGGCAUGUGGAACUUCCGGUGGAGCGGUGAAAUGCGUAGAUAUCGGAAGGAACGCCGGUGGCGAAAGCGACGUGCUGGACCCUUUCUGACGCUGAGGCGCGAAAGCCAGGGGAGCAAACGGG